GAAAUGGCUUCGAACGCGACCUUGUUGGCCAUGAUCAUGGCGUGCACGCUCCUACUCACCGGGUGCCACGGCGCACGCCACUUGGCCGACACGACUCCGGCGGCUGCCCCUACCGCUGCUGUACCUGGCCUGCCGGCCGUGCCGACCAUGCCUGCCGUGCCCACGGACACAGUCACCCUGCUGCCACCAAUGCCGGCGGUCACCCUGCCCACGGUUCCUCAAGUCACGCUCCCGCCCAUGCCCGCUGUCGUGGUGCCUAAGAUGGUGCUGCCACCCAUGCCCGCUGUCGUGGUGCCUAAGAUGGUGCUGCCACCCAUGCCCAAGGUGUCAAUGGCGCCGAUGCCCGCCAUUGUAGUGCCCAAGGUGACGCUGCCGCCAUUGCCGUUCGUCCCGAAUGUGAACGUGCCAAUGCCGUUCCUGGCACCGCCCCC
rnacentral:lncRNA from 1 species